rnacentral:rRNA from 1 species
UGGGGAAUAUUGCACAAUGGUGGAAACCCUGAUGCAGCGACGCCGCGUGAGCGAAGAAGGCUUUCGAGUCGUAAAGCUCUGUCCUAUGAGAAGAUAAUGACGGUAUCAUAGGAGGAAGCCCUGGCUAAAUACGUGCCAGCAGCCGCGGUAAUACGUAUGGGGCGAGCGUUGUCCGGAAUUAUUGGGCGUAAAGGGUACGUAGGUGGUUUUUUAAGUCAGGUGUCAAAGCGUGGAGCUUAACUCCAUUAAGCACUUGAAACUGAAAGACUUGAGUGAAGGAGAGGAAAGUGGAAUUCCUAGUGUAGCGGUGAAAUGCGCAGAUAUUAGGAAGAAUACCGGUGGCGAAGGCGACUUUCUGGUCAUCAUCUGACGCUGAGGUACGAAAGCGUGGGUAGCAAACAGG